GCCGGCAUAGCUCAGUGGUAGAGCAGCUGAUUCGUAAUCAGCAGGCCGGGGGUUCGAAUCCCCCUGCCGGCUUCA
rnacentral:tRNA from 1 species